rnacentral:rRNA from 1 species
GUGCCAGCAGCCGCGGUAAUACAGAGGGUGCGAGCGUUAAUCGGAAUUACUGGGCGUAAAGGGCGCGUAGGCGGUUAUAUGAGUGUGAUGUGAAAGCCCCGGGCUUAACCUGGGAAGUGCAUCGCAAACGAUAUGACUGGAGUAUAUGAGAGGGUGGCGGAAUUUCCGGUGUAGCGGUGAAAUGCGUAGAGAUCGGAAGGAACGUCGAUGGCGAAGGCAGCCACCUGGCAUAAUACUGACGCUGAGGCGCGAAAGCGUGGGGAGCGAACAGGAUUAGAUACCCUCGUAGUCC